UACGUAGGCAGCGAGCGUUGUUCGGAAUUAUUGGGCGUAAAGAGCUCGUAGGCGGUCUGUCGCGUCUGCUGUGAAAACUCGGGGCUUAACCCCGGGCCUGCAGUGGGUACGGGCAGACUAGAGUGCGGUAGGGGAGACUGGAAUUCCUGGUGUAGCGGUGAAAUGCGCAGAUAUCAGGAGGAACACCGGUGGCGAAGGCGGGUCUCUGGGCCGUAACUGACGCUGAGGCACGAAAGCGUGGGGAGCAAACAGG
rnacentral:rRNA from 1 species